GGGGGCCCGCAAGCAGCGGAGCAUGUGGUUUAAUUCGAAGCAACGCGAAGAGCCUUACCUAGACUUGACAUCUCCUGCAUUACCCUUAAUCGGGGAAGUUCUUUCGGGAACAGGAAGACAGGUGGUGCAUGGUUGUCGUCAGCUCGUGUCGUGAGAUGUUGGGUUAAGUCCCGCAACGAGCGCAACCCUUAUUGUUAGUUGCUACCAUUUAGUUGAGCACUCUAGCGAGACUGCCCGGGUUAACCGGGAGGAAGGUGGGGAUGACGUCAAAUCAUCAUGCCCCUUAUGUCUAGGGCUACACACGUGCUACAAUGGCAAGUACAAAGAAAAGCAAGACCGCGAGGUGGAGCAAAACUCAAAAACUUGUCUCAGUUCGGAUUGUAGGCUGAAACUCGCCUACAUGAAGCUGGAGUUGCUAGUAAUCGCGAAUCAGCAUGUCGCGGUGAAUACGUUCCCGGGCCUUGUACACACC
rnacentral:rRNA from 1 species